GACCUCGGAUCAGGUAGGGAUACCCGCUGAACUUAAGCAUAUCAAA
rnacentral:rRNA from 4 species